rnacentral:rRNA from 1 species
GACGAACGCUGGCGGCGUGCUUAACACAUGCAAGUCGAACGGAAAGGCCCUGCUUGCAGGGUACUCGAGUGGCGAACGGGUGAGUAACACGUGGGUGAUCUGCCCUGCACUUCGGGAUAAGCCUGGGAAACUGGGUCUAAUACCGGCUAGGAGCCAUUUUUAGUGUGAUGGUUGGAAAGUUUUUUUCGGUGUAGGAUGAGCUCGCGGCCUAUCAGCUUGUUGGUGGGGUAAUGGCCUACCAAGGCGGCGACGGGUAGCCGGCCUGAGAGGGUGGACGGCCACAUUGGGACUGAGAGACGGCCCAGACUCCGACGGGAGGCAGCAGUGGGGAAUAUUGCACAAUGGGCGCAAGCCUGAUGCAGCGACGCCGCGUGGGGGAUGACGGCCUUCGGGUUGUAAACUCCUUUCGCUAGGGACGAAGCUUUUUGUGACGGUACCUAGAUAAGAAGCACCGGCUAACUACGUG